GAUGAACGCUGGCGGCGUGCCUAAUACAUGCAAGUCGAGCGAACAGACGAGGAGCUUGCUCCUCUGACGUUAGCGGCGGACGGGUGAGUAACACGUGGAUAACCUACCUAUAAGACUGGGAUAACUUCGGGAGACCGGAGCUAAUACCGGAUAAUAUAUUGAACCGCAUGGUUCAAUAGUUAAAGACGGUUUUGCUGUCACUUAUAGAUGGAUCCGCGCCGCAUUAGCUAGUUGGUAAGGUAACGGCUUACCAAGGCAACGAUGCGUAGCCGACCUGAGAGGGUGAUCGGCCACACUGGAACUGAGACACGGUCCAGACUCCUACGGGAGGCAGCAGUAGGGAAUCUUCCGCAAUGGGCGAAAGCCUGACGGAGCAACGCCGCGUGAGUGAUGAAGGUCUUCGGAUCGUAAAACUCUGUUAUUAGGGAAGAACAAAUGUGUAAGUAACUAUGCACGUCUUGACGGUACCUAAUCAGAAAGCCACGGCUAACUACGUG
rnacentral:rRNA from 1 species